rnacentral:tmRNA from 1 species
CACCUUCCAUUUUGCAGCCGGCCUCCCUAUAUUGGGGUCGUCAGCUUGACUGACUAUGGCGAUAAACUGCCGAUGAAAUAAGCCAUUCGGACCCGGGGGCGGUACCCGGCGCCUCCACCAAAAGUCGUCGCACGGUCGAACGACGAUUUUUGCUGGGGGCGAAAUAGGAUCGACGAGGGUGUAAAGAUCGGACUUUUGCCCGGCAUUGUACCACCGUUAUCGGGCUAAACUUGUAGUUGCAAACGACAACUAUGCGGAAGCACGUCUCGCUGCUUAAUGCAGUGCGAUAGCUUCAAAUUAAGCCCUAGAGGUUCGCACUUCUAGGCGGGGUUCGGAGGUACCUGGCAACAGAAACCUCCACU